GCCAUCUGGCCCUUCCCAAAGAAAAACAAAAAUAAUAAAAAAGAAAAAGAAAAAAAAGGAUCGUGGGAGAGAAAAAAAGAAACAGAGGGAGAAUGCCUCUCUUUGGUCCUCUUUGGAGUUUUUCUACAAAAUUCAUGAUCUACGAAAAUCUAACUGUUCAAACUCAAAUUUGACUUCGGUAAAGUGAUCUACGAAACCCGAUCUACGUUUCUACCGAUUAGUUUGAGGAUUUGUUGUGAGAAGCUUGUUAAACAUUCUCCAAGUGUUGGAUUUACAUUUGGUGGAAUUUUUGUAAUGCAUUGCUUGGUGGUGUCUAGGAGACCUAGUGCUUAAUAUCCGCGCAGCCAAGGUUAUGCGGAUAUAGAUAUUGACUCGUCUACCUAGCGUAUAAGAAGCUAUGAUUGGAGCACAUCACGACAGUCAUAAAUCACGGACUCAUGUGUAGUCUGUAUUUUGGGUAUUUUAUUUAUGGCUCGUGUCCUACGUGGUUUACGUAGUUGUCGAGCCUGUAAUUUGAUAUGUAAUUAUAGUAAAAUGUUUUAUAAGCUUUACUCAGUUAGACAUAUAAAUGGCUCUUGUUGUUGAUAACAGUUAUGUAUUAGAUGUACUUCCGCUUU